rnacentral:rRNA from 1 species
UACGGGGGGGGGCAAGCGUUGUUCGGAAUUACUGGGCGUAAAGGGCUCGUAGGCGGCCAACUAAGUCGGACGUGAAAUCCCUCGGCUUAACCGGGGAACUGCGUCCGAUACUGGAUGGCUUGAGUUUGGGAGAGGGAUGCGGAAUUCCAGGUGUAGCGGUGAAAUGCGUAGAUAUCUGGAGGAACACCGGUGGCGAAGGCGGCACCCUGGACCAACACUGACGCUGAGGAGCGAAAGCCAGGGGAGCAAACGGG